rnacentral:rRNA from 1 species
GUUAGUUUUACCCUACUGAUGAGAUUGUUGUCGCAACAGUAAUAUUGGUUAGUACGAGAGGAACCCCAAUUUCAGACAAUUGGUAAAUGCGGUUGUUUGAAAAAACAAUGCCGCGAAGCUACCAUCUGUUGGUUUAGGGCUGAACGCCUCUAAGUCCGAAACCAUGCUGAAAAGCGACGAUAUUCACCUCUUUCGAUGUUACAAGAGUACCGAUAAAUAUGUACCAUACAAGUGCAACGGAGUUAAAUCCUAGCAAACGAAUAAUAAUUACAAAUAUUGAAAGAGAUAAAUCCUUUGUAGACGACUUAA